rnacentral:rRNA from 1 species
CCUACGGGGUGCAGCAGUAGGGAAUCUUCGGCAAUGGACGAAAGUCUGACCGAGCAACGCCGCGUGAGUGAAGAAGGUUUUCGGAUCGUAAAACUCUGUUGUUAGAGAAGAACAAGCAGGAGAGUAACUGCUCUUACCUUGACGGUAUCUAACCAGAAAGCCACGGCUAACUACGUGCCAGCAGCCGCGGUAAUACGUAGGUGGCAAGCGUUGUCCGGAUUUAUUGGGCGUAAAGCGAGCGCAGGCGGUCUUUUAAGUCUGAUGUGAAAGCCCUCGGCUCAACCGAGGAAGGUCAUUGGAAACUGGAGGACUUGAGUGCAGAAGAGGAGAGUGGAAUUCCAUGUGUAGCGGUGAAAUGCGUAGAUAUAUGGAGGAACACCAGUGGCGAAGGCGACUCUCUGGUCCGUAACUGACGCUGAGGCUCGAAAGCGUGGGGAGCAAACAGGAUUAGAUACCCGAGUAAUC